GCUACCACUGUUAACGCGUUGCCCCGACAACCAACCACCAACCUGUCUACCACGGCAGCUCUUGCUCUAAGCAACCCUCGACAAAAGUCCAGCUAUUAGUCAGUGAAGAACCAAUCAGAGGUCGGCUUACUGGAGAGAUGAAACCAUGCAUACCUCAGUGAGGUGGUGCAGCAAGGUCUGACAUGACCGAGCCCCAUUAGGCUCCACAGUGAAGGACCGACCCAGUGGAGAGCACCGAUCCUGGGGGGGAAGGCAGGCUGCCAAGAGGACCAGAGAGCAGAAGGGUGCCUUGGCCCCGUUAGAAGAAGAGGGGUGGAUUCUAGCUACAGGCUCUAUAU